GCGAGCAUCGUCACGUUCGUUAAAUCGGUUAUCAUACGGUAGGUGUUCGCGAUUGGAAUUUCGUUUUAUUUGUACGCGUUGUACAAACACACACGCGCGUGUGUGUAUGUGUGUGUCAGUUGUGCGUGUCACGAUCGUGCAUCAGCAGAUGACACUUACCGCCCUGGUCACGCACAAACUAUAUUCGUCUCACCGUCACAGGGGCACACACGGACCUGAAGUGACCGGCGGUCAGUUUGAUGGUGUAACGAGGCUCGUGAUGUGACAACACACAGCCAACGAACGAACCGUGGCAGCAGGAGUCGACCGAGGGUGAAGACACUUCAGGGUCAGACAUCUGCGCAUCGAUAUGAGGACCUCGUAUACAGCUCGCAACGGCUCAUACUUAUGUUACGCUUAACUGGCAGCACGGCUUAGCUACCGCUUCUUGGCACUCAGUGUGAAGGAGAGGCAGUCUGAAAGUUCCAGCCCUUGACAGCUUCCGAGCUUCAGCGAGAUUUCAGCCAGGGUGGAGAUCAUCAAUGGAUCACAAUGCAGUAUUGUCCCGGUGAUUCGCCGCCUACGUUAGUCAACACGAGUCGAUGACUAACGAUAAGAGGACAACAACGUCUUGUGGACUAUUAUCCAAAGGGUAUUGCAGAAGAGGAAGCACAGCAGACUUGGUUGCACGAGGCUCGGAGCAAUGGCGAGGCCCCAUCAGACAGAAGCUACCGCGAUAACAGGUAAUCCGCGAUUAGCAACGCGUCGAUUGCCCUGUAUCGUCGAUCGUCGGCCUCGAUCCCGGCGAUAUUUCAAGCCGAUCGGUACCCGCGGACGGUGAAACUCGAUCUCGUGGAUCGAGCUCAUGGAUCCCCCAUCGGGAAAGCCUCUUUGAGAAGCCGGCAGCGCUGGUGGACUCGCUCUCCUCCCGCUCCGCUCCUCUUGAGUGAUAUAAAACCGGCAUUCGCGAAUAAAUACUCCAUUGCAGGAGCACGGGGGCCCUAAAUAUUCAUGGGUUUAGAUCUCGCUCUCCUUAGAUUCUCCUCCAUCCUCAUUCAGCUUCCUCUCCGCUUGAACCUCGACUGUGGCCGUGGCGGGGAACGUCACGUUUGUUACGACCGCCAACAGGACUUUACCAUUCGAGAUCCCUUCGGUCUUUGUAUCAUUCUGAUCCGAUCGAUACGUUACGGAAAAGACGCGUUUUCCUCUUACUUCUCUUUCAGAUUCGUUUCAUCGCUUUAUUCGAGUGAUUCAUUGAUCGUGGAUCGCUUCUUUCACUUGGAAAUUGUAGCGGAUAUGGAAUAAUCGAUGGACGUAUCGACUGGAAAGAGUGAAAGCAUCUUCCCUUUUUUGGGGGGGUGAAACUCACCUGUUUAGAUUCAACGCGCGUGCUGUACAAUUUUCAGAAAUUAUACUUUUAAUAUUAUUUAAGAGUAUGAUUUCUAAUCCGCGAACGAGGUCUAUAAUAGCACGUAAUCAUGAGAAAAUUCAUGACACUCGAACAGAAAGUAACUUCUCUAUAAUGAUAACAUGUUAAAUUCCAAGGAAUGCAUGCAUUAUACGAGUCAGAGAAAUAUAAUAGACUGGAAGAGCAUGUUUCAAGGAGCAGCUUACCGUUGCUUCGAGGUGUAAGACAAGGCAUAAAAACAUAGUCAUCCGACGACGUUGCAAUCAUCGUCGCCGUUGGCGCAAUUAUUGGAAAAGUCAAGUCGAUCGAGGCGCUAGGGUAACACGAGCACAAUCAUCAUCGUUCUCGAACCGAUCGCUGAAUAGACGUCCGUCCGUGGCUUUCAGCUGCGAAUUACCAUCGAAACGUUCACCGUCCUCGAGUACCAGUAACGAUCGCUCGUUGGAAAAUGAUUCGACGAAGGAGAUAGAAAAAAAAUGUAGACGGAGGAGAACGAAAUAGGGGAAAAAGAAGGAAAUAAUAUCGUACCGCGUCCUCGUUGGCAGCCUUUCACUAGUGACUGCAGAUCCAACAAGACUGGACAUGCCUUUGUUUUCAAGGGGUCUUGAAUUUGUUAAUUAAAAAUUCACAAUUACAAAUAACAAAUUAAUUGAAAUAGAACUAUCUGCUUUAUCCUAGUAUAAAAAAUAGUAAACUGCAUCGAUAUCAACGACCCUACCCCAUCGCUCAGUCACUGCCACAUCUCAGCAACAAGGGCAUCUCCAGUCUUAUUGGAUCUGUAGCCGCUGCAACCCUUAAAGAUGUUACAUCCAAGGACUACCACCCCCAACACGGACAGAGCGAAGAAAAGCAGCAAGGGGUGAGUGAUCUAAUCCUCCCCUCAAUACUAGAUAUAACGCCAGCUAAUUCCACGUCAUUUCGUUGAUGGACGAGACUCCUCUUGAUCUUUCGCACGCAAACGUCUCCUCGAUCUAUCGCGCGACGUCGAUCUUCGAAUCGCACUCGUAAAUUCGGCCCUCGAUAAAUGGAACCCUCGUUGGCAGAAUAAACGCGUCGUAUUCACACGUCGUCGCGUGGCACGCGAGUUUCACGCGACAUGGCUUUUGUCUGAAUACUUAGAAAAUUUUUACCGAUUUUUCAUGUUAUCAUUUUUUAUAUUAAUCCGAUCUCGAGGUCUUUAAGAGCCUUCUAUACAAAUUAUCAAUUUCCGAUCUUCAACAAUUACCCAGCUAGAUAAAAGACCUAUACAGCAACCUCAGCGCUCGGCUAAUUAAUUCGAUGAAACCGUCUCGUCGGCUAAUUGAACGGCUCACAAUGGCGAUGGACUAUCGCACGAAACAAUUUGCCGUCGCGACGUCGUUUGACGUCUGCUCGUCUCGAUUUCGAGCACGAUCUCGCUAAUAAAUUAACCGACAGGUCGCCAGGGGCCAGCAACGACGCUAGUUUCUAAUUAAGUUUGCCGUAGCUAGAAUCACAUGUUCUCUCUCUCUAUCUAUCUUUCGAAGCGGUUGCUUCUCUUUCUUUCUACGCUUCUCGUCACCUUUCGCGCGCGUUAAUCUCCUUCGAUCCCGCCUCGCCUCGUGGAUCAUGCGUGAAGCCGAAGCUCGACGACUUCGCCGGUGGAUCAUCGAUCUUUACGGCCCCCGGCGCCAUUUUUACCCCGUGCAAUUGAGUUGCGUUUAUGACGGAUCGACGCGCCGUAUCCGUCGACAAUAUUUCGCAUGCCCUGUUGAGGAUCAACGCUUCAAUCUUUCACCUCUUGAAUUAUGUUCUUCUCUAAGUAUUUUGCAAUUUAUUUAUAACUCUAUAACAUUAAAUAAACCAUUACUUCACAUAAUUUAUUGUAUAUCACACAUUCAUACAGUUCAUUGUAUAUCAUGUACCACAAAAGGGUUCAUCCCUCAUGAUUUAAAUAAAUAAAUAAAUUACUAAA